rnacentral:tRNA from 1 species
GCGCCUGUAGCUCAGUGGAUUAGAGCAUUUGCUUGCGGAGCAAAGGGCCGGGGGUUCGAGUCCCUCCAGGCGCA